UCUGGGCAGCGUAGCGGCUGCCUGUAACCCGAGCGGGAGUAGGAGAGACGGAAGCUGGGGCUCUUGCAGAGGACCGCCGGGAUCAUGUUGAAGGCACGUCCGCUUGAAGCGUGGAGUCUCUGGUCCGGGCUCCUCCGCGGAAGCGAGAGGAGUCUGGGGAGAUGAUGUGGAAGGCACAGCGUGAGGCGGGCGACCGAGCAGCGAACACUUCCCGCUCUGCGCAGUCCAGGGACAGCGUGCUUGAAUGCUUGCCAGCGAUCAUCCGAAGUGAGUGGCCACCAGCGACCUCUCUC
rfam:Marchantia polymorpha subsp. polymorpha scaffold673, whole genome shotgun sequence.